UACGGGGGGGGCAAGCGUUGUUCGGAAUUACUGGGCGUAAAGGGCUCGUAGGCGGCCAACUAAGUCGGAUGUGAAAUCCCCAGGCUCAACCUGGGAACUGCAUCCGAUACUGGAUGGCUUGAAUUCGGGAGAGGGAUGCAGAAUUCCCGGUGUAGUGGUGGAAUGCGUAGAUAUCGGGAAGAACACCAGUGGCGAAAGCGGCUCUCUGGGGACCACCUGACGCUGAGGCGCGAAAGCGUGGGGAGCGAACCGG
rnacentral:rRNA from 1 species